CGCUCGCCCCUGCGCCGAGACGGCGCUCGCCCUCCGCCCCUCCCUGGAACCUCGCCCUGCGCCGACCUGCGACCUGUGACGGCGCUCGCCCCGCCGCCGACACCGUGCCCUCCCUGGACGCUCGCUCCGCGCCGCCCUGUGAAUCCAUUGCUGACCCCGCCGUCGCCUGCGCCAUAUCCGGACGCUCGCACCGCGCCGUGCCCUCCCUGGACGCUCGCCCCGCGCCGCCCUGUUGAGGGCGCUGACCCCGCCGCCGAUGGCGUGGCUUCGCCUCGCCCAGUCUGCGCUCCCGGCGUCCUCGUCCAGCACGCGUGCCUAGCUCCCUCCGGGUUUCUCCUGCCGGCCUCGUGGACGCUGCCUCCAUCCGCGCCCCCGGCGGCCUCCAACACGCGUGCCUCCCUCCGGUCGGCGCCGAGGACGGCGCCUCCGUCCGAGCUGCUGCCGGGAUCCAGUAGCCGCCAGAGCACCGUCGCGUGAGCACCCGACGAUCGCCUGGCCCCCUGUACCCUGCACCGUCGCCUAUCCCACCGCCGUGUAGCCCUCGCCGCCUUCCGCCGCGCCGGUAACAGAAGAGAUGAAGCCAGAAAAAUGAUCGGCUGGAAAGAAUAUCGUCGGGGGCGUCAAGAAGGUGUCUUCCUUGGCUGCAAAGAAGCAGCGCCCUCUCCGAUUCAAAGAAGGACGACGUGGACAAUCGAGCUCGAGUUCCGACGAUGAAGUGUUAGAAAAAAGCUAAAGCAAAGCCUUUUGAUUAUGGACCCGAGGCUCGAUGAAAUCAAAGAGCAUGUCGAUGCCAUGGAAAGGAAGCUCAAGAACCUCCGAAACAAUGUGGUCAAGGUGGCUGAGGACAUCGGGAAUCUCCUAGAAUUUGUAUUCGACGAACCGAUUAUUUAGAAGCCUUAGAAUACAUGGCUAGUUUUAUUUAAUUUCCUUGUGGCAACAUUAUUGGAGUUAUGAAUAAUGUGGGCAGACUUGUACUUGUCCUAUAACAAUGUCUUUUUGCUGUACCUGCUCUUUUUCUUUUUCGGAACAACAUGCAAAGGCACCCUGCAAUCUAUGUGGUUCUGGGAUGCAGAGGCAGCUGAGCAUCUCGGCGAUGCCCAAGAAUUCUGUAAUGAACAUUUGUGUGCUGAGCAUCUGCUGAAUCUGAGCAUUUGGUUGGAACA